rnacentral:rRNA from 1 species
UACGUAGGGAGCAAGCGUUGUCCGGAAUCAUUGGGCGUAAAGCGCGCGUAGGCGGCCUCGUAAGUCCGUUGUGAAAGUCAAAGGCUCAACCUUUGAAAGCCGAUGGAUACUGUGAGGCUAGAGUCCGGAAGAGGCGAGUGGAAUUCCUGGUGUAGCGGUGGAAUGCGCAGAUAUCAGGAAGAACACCAACGGCGAAGGCAGCUCGCUGGGACGGUACUGACGCUGAGACGCGAAAGCGUGGGGAGCGAACAGG